GCUUACGGCCACACUACCUUGAGAACGCCCGAUCUCGUCUGAUCUCGGAAGAGCCAUCCCUCGUUAGCCAUUGGGUGGCCCAGUGUCCCUAAUUUUUAACACCCACAGUGACACCGUGACAG
rnacentral:rRNA from 1 species